CGAGUAGCUUUGUACGCCGUAGUACUACAUUAAUUUGUCGGAAUCAAUCGCCACAAUAUAGUCGCUUUUCAAGAAUAACCGUAAAUUGAAUACUUCGGAGAAUGAAGCAUUCAAAUUAAUCAUUUGUGUACCAGAUACACGAAAUGCAUAACGCCCAGCCGCACUGAAAAACUCAAACCGACCAACCAAUCCAAUCAAGAAUGUAGUACGAAGUCGCGACGUGUUCUCCCCACUCCACGAAGUUCUCAAACACUUUACUCGGACGAUACACGCUGAUAUUCUGAACGCGCCCCUGCACCAACCUCCACCGACCUCUGACAAAAUCCCGACACCCAAGAGGAUCGAGAACACAACACGAGAAAUGAAACAGGCAUGGAUAGAG
rnacentral:lncRNA from 1 species